CCACUGUUCCUUUCCCAGCCAGUGGGAAUGGCUUCUUUGUAGCAAUUUCUGCCUCAGUAAAGAUUCAGGAUUAUAUCCUAAAUUAUUAAUGGGUCAAAUACAGUCCACAAACAGAAAUUUCAUGCAGCUUGUGGGUCAAGCUAAUGCUUAUGUGAGAGGGUGCUUUUGUUGAGAAGUAAGACUCUGAACAAGAAUAGUAAGUGCUCACUGUUUACUUGUACAGAAAGUGAGAUGAACAACUCAAAAGAACAAGCAAAGGACAGAAAAUGUGGCUCGCUCCUUCCGCUUCAGUUUGAUUCAGUUCCCACAGAUAGGCACAACUUCCAGGGGUUUCAGAGAGGGUGUAAACAUAGUCACCAAACACUGUUUAACUAGGGAACACUGGUCCUGCUCCCCAUCAGGUCCCAGGUAGUUUAACACAUACUACUUUCCCAUUCUUCUACCUGUAUUUUUCCUGGUUUUAUCUGACAUGUAGCUCAGUUGCAUGUUACUGCUGAGUUUGAAGCAGCAACCCCUAAUUUACUCCCACAAUUUCAUAGAAUAUUUGUCUCCCUGAUAAGAGAGUUUGCUUAUAGUCACAUUUGUGAUAAUGGGGUAUUCUUGACUGGCUGUGAGUCUCUUAAACUUCUAUUCAUGUUAGCCUGUAAGACAGUUAUUGCCCUUUGUGAAAUUAAUUGGGUUGCUGUUUAUAAAAUCACCUUAAACACCUUUACCACCACUCAGUCACCCCCAAUCCCC